GACGAACGCUGGCGGCGUGCCUAAUACAUGCAAGUCGAACGCUGAAGAGAGGAGCUUGCUCUUCUUGGAUGAGUUGCGAACGGGUGAGUAACGCGUAGGUAACCUGCCUUGUAGCGGGGGAUAACUAUUGGAGACGAUAGCUAAUACCGCAUAACAAUGGAUGACACAUGUCAUUUAUUUGAAAGGGGCAAUUGCUCCACUACAAGAUGGACCUGCGUUGUAUUAGCUAGUAGGUGAGGUAAUGGCUCACCUAGGCGACGAUACAUAGCCGACCUGAGAGGGUGAUCGGCCACACUGGGACUGAGACACGGCCCAGACUCCUACGGGAGGCAGCAGUAGGGAAUCUUCGGCAAUGGGGGCAACCCUGACCGAGCAACGCCGCGUGAGUGAAGAAGGUUUUCGGAUCGUAAAGCUCUGUUGUAAGUCAAGAACGGGUGUGAGAGUGGAAAGUUCACACUGUGACGGUAGCUUACCAGAAAGGGACGGCUAACUACGU
rnacentral:rRNA from 1 species